ACAGGCGCCGUGCGCCGCGCCCCCUGUCAGGGGCAGCCAUUGUUCCGCAGGUCGUGCCGGUAGCGCAGGUCGCGCCGGAGCUGGGUUCCUGCACUCCUCUCCAAGUCUGGUACCUCCGUCAAGCUGGGAGACGGCUCCAGUCCCUGGUUCUGAACACUCUGGGGUUCUCGGGUGCAGGCCGCCAUGAGUAAACGGAAGGCGCCUCAGGAGACUCUCAACGCGGGAAUCACCGACAUGCUCACAGAACUCGCAAACUUUGAGAAGAACGUGAGCCAAGCUAUCCACAAGUACAAUGCUUACAGAAAAGCAGCAUCUGUUAUAGCAAAAUACCCAUAUAAAAUAAAGAGUGGAGCUGAAGCUAAGAAAUUGCCUGGAGUAGGAACAAAAAUUGCUGAAAAAAUUGAUGAGUUUUUAGCAACUGGAAAAUUACGUAAACUGGAAAAGAUUCGGCAAGAUGAUACGAGUUCAUCCAUCAAUUUCCUGACUCGAGUUAGUGGCAUUGGUCCAUCUGCUGCAAGGAAGUUUGUAGAUGAAGGAAUUAAAACACUAGAAGAUCUCAGAAAAAACGAAGACAAAUUGAACCAUCAUCAGCGAAUUGGGCUGAAAUAUUUUGGAGACUUUGAAAAAAGAAUUCCUCGUGAAGAGAUGUUACAAAUGCAAGAUAUUGUACUAAAUGAAGUUAAAAAAGUGGAUUCUGAAUACAUUGCUACGGUCUGUGGCAGUUUCAGAAGAGGUGCAGAGUCCAGUGGUGACAUGGAUGUUCUCCUGACCCAUCCAAGCUUCACUUCAGAAUCAACCAAACAGCCAAAAUUAUUACAUCAAGUUGUGGAGCAGUUACAAAAAGUUCAUUUUAUCACAGAUACCCUGUCGAAGGGUGAGACAAAGUUCAUGGGUGUUUGCCAACUUCCCAGUAAAAAUGAUGAAAAGGAAUAUCCACACAGAAGAAUUGAUAUCAGGUUGAUACCCAAAGAUCAGUAUUACUGUGGUGUUCUCUAUUUCACUGGAAGUGAUAUUUUCAAUAAGAAUAUGAGGGCUUAUGCCCUAGAAAAGGGCUUCACAAUCAAUGAGUAUACCAUCCGUCCCUUGGGAGUCACUGGAGUUGCUGGAGAACCACUGCCAGUGGAUAGUGAGAAAGACAUCUUUGAUUACAUCCAGUGGAAAUACCGAGAACCCAAGGACCGGAGCGAAUGAGGCCUGUAGCUUCCCUGGCAGACAAAGCCCAAUAGGAGUCUUAAUUUAUUUCUUAACCUUUGCUAUAAUCUCAUUGGUUUUCUGGAAAAACAGACAAAAAGCUAAUGCUAGUCUCAUUCGUCACAGGGCCAUCAUCUCAGUUCUCUAGUUUCAGGCUAUUUUGCUUGCUGCAAGAUUUGAUUUCAGGAGAAAUCAGUAUGGAGGCAUUUGAAAGUUCAUGUCCAAGACUGAGCCCGAAUGCAAUGAGGAUUCUUCUUCAUGUUGAGAUAUUUACAGCUUUUCGAUUUUUUGGCAUACUCUUAACCGUGCAUGCUGCCCAUUGCUGGCCGGUUGGCUUCGACACAGUAGUCCAGGACCACAGUCGCAACGCUGGAAGAUUUCUGGAGCUUGAGCAGUGUCUUUAUGCCCUCUCCUGGAGCAGACCUGUCCCUCCAAAAGGACUGGCUUACAGAUUUUCGUCCAAAAAUGACGAGCACAGCAAAGUCCAGGGCCACAGUCAAAAGUUCUCAGACAACUUUCUCCCUCUUGUCCUGUAACAAGGUUAAUGUGGGCUUCAGUGAUAAACGGGAAAAGUGGCCUGCCCGGGCACUGCUACUGGGAUAAGGGGAUGGGACCUACGACUGACGGCCACAAAGUGAAAAUAGACACAGCAUGCAGGUCUCACAGAGCUAGGUCUUAGGCUAAAAGGAGUAAUGCAAUGGCAAUUCCACCCCUACCCAACGGAAUUGAUUUAUUGUUACUGGCCAUUCCCUUGUUCUCUCAACCUGCAGAUUACCUUAGGCCACUCUCUAUGUGACCCCCACAGCUUCUUAUGGAAAGAGAUUACAACAGCACAUGCUGCCUAAGUGU